CAUCAUCGGUUUCAUGGCAGCGAGGUGAGCAGACAAAAGAAGGCAUCGUUUUUUCAGCAAGGUCGCUGUGGGCAAAAAUUCCGCGAAUUGCGAGGAAUAAACCACCGAAGGGACAGUACCCGUGCUGAAUUAGGCCGUUUUCCCAUACAUUGCAGCUAUUGAAUUUAAUACCCGGUCAAAACGAUGGCAUUUCUGCACUCGCUUCAAAAAAAUUUAAUUCACCAGCGACGGUUACUCCCGUAGAAACGGCUGCACUGCAGUUUUGAGCUCGCGGUAGCUACAAAAAUUCUAACUAGCGGCUCCUGAAGAAAAACAAACUGCAUGCGAAAUUGGAGAAACAGCUUCCUCCACGGAAGAUGCAGAGGAAUUCAACAUGGCGGAUGCAAGUUUGCAAUUGAAAAUUAUUCGCAAAGUUCUGGUAGAAUCAAAACUUGAUCUGGAGGUGCAGCGAUAGGAUCCUUCUUUGCCGCUAUACUCAGUUAAAACUUUAGAAGCUUUACGCCUGAAGCCGGAACUGCUUCAGGGAGUCUGUGUUUCAACGCCCAUUCCAAGAUUCAGGAGACGGCUCUACAUACUCUGUUGGCCGAUCCGCCACAGAACAUGAUCGCCCAGUCAGUCGGUAACAGAAAAAACCAAUGCUUUCGUGCUGGCAGUUCUCAGUUGAGUCGAUCCGUUAAAAAACUCCGCAGGUGAUGUGCCUUUCCCCCCGCAUGAACUGGCAAUUCAGAAGGGGGAAGUAGCUGCCAAAAUGGCAAAGUUUUGUCCGGAAAUCAAACAUCGUUCGCCGUUCGCGGUGGAGAGAUCGUCAAAAGUGCGAAGCUGAUCAUCAGAAUACCCGGCAAGCUGAUGGGCUGCAAUAUAAAGUUCCGGGCUUUCGACAUUAAGAAGAUUGCCGUUUUUGUACUGAUUUUUGCAUGUUAUGAUUCAUCCGGAUACACAAGCAACUGUCGUCGUCUUGCCAGAUGAUGUUCUCGGUCACAUACGAGCGGGAAGUGAUUGAGUACGCCGUAACCAAUCCCAUCGUGAUUUGGCUGGCGCGGGAGCAAGAAUCACUCGAUAACACCAAAAAGUACUACGUCAUAUGCCACUACCAGGACGAGAAAUAUCAAGCAAUUUCGAACACGUGAUUACCGUCGGACAAGCGAUCAUUUUCAGUCAUGAGUGUAGGACAGUGGGGAAUGAGGCGCCGGUAAACAAACAAUUAAAUGCAAUAGUUUCAGUACAAACAUGUCAUGUUUCAACAUAGUCCCAAACCCCCACAUGUCAAAUUGUUACAUUUUGUCAUCCCCUCUAAAAGAGUUACAUAAUUUAUUAACGGUCCCUAAAUUUAUGUAUUUCAAUAGCAGCAUAUACUGAUCAUGAAUAUGUAUCGAAGAAGGUGUUUUAUUUAAAAAAUUUCAAAACCCUCCGCCAAUGGUAGGGUAAUGAGCCUCUGUUGGUCUUAUUAGGAAGGAGCCGCACUGGUUCGUUAUUCACUCUGCCUUCAACCAAUGGAAUGUCUAAAAAUUGGCAUCAAUAUCUUUGCUUUGCUCUCAAGUUUUUCGUAUGUAAUAACGGCAUUCAAUUAGCAAAGGACUGGAUAUUGAUCUAGUUCCUUAGAAUUUUUCAGACAGCUCUAUGCGCAAACGAUUUCUUUAAUGUCCUGUAUUUCGAGCAUUUUUCGAGAUAAUGAUAAUUUAGAAGAGUGAUGUCUGCGACAAAGUUUUUCAGCACGUUAAGGACUGUCUCAUGGUACAUAGAAUUGCUUGAUUUACUACCACCACAGAGAACAGACAUCAAUGUUCCAACAAAUAAAUUAAUAAUAUUCGUGUAAGCAGCAAACGAAUAUCCGUUAACAUACUUGCAUUGCGUUACUAGCUUAUCCCAACCUUUAGGACAAUCACAGACUAUCAAACAUAACACUCGAAGACAAUAGUGUUAUGCCUGUUUGUCUGUGAUGGUUUAAUUAUGUAUAUCAUAUUGAAAUCUGAUUUUCUUCCUUAGAAAAAUCCUUUAUUUUUGUUCUAUUGCGAUAGCCUAUAAGGUAGAGGAGCCGUUAUUCAUCUCAUUAGUCAGGAUGUCACACUUUUUCGAUUGUAACUCGGCUUACAGUGAUUGGAUUGCGCUUAAAUAGGUAUCAACAUGCUUGCUUCGUUCUUAAGAAGCAGUGACAUAAAAAAUCUGGUUUGGAAAAUGUAAAAUACUCGCGUUUGAGCGAAAGUCGAGUACAACGAACCCUUAUUCAUCCUAUCAUUUGACCUAAUGCGUUGAAUAGAGGGAGCAGACACUGUUCUAACUGUAUUCAAAUGGGUGGGAUGAAUAUAGGAGCUAAGAUGAAUAAGGGCACAGUAACCCUCGGUGAACACUGAAACAUAACGUGAAUUAUGCAAUGUAUGACCUCCGAUCGGCCUGUUUUCGGUAGAAUUAUGUUUAGUAUGCCUGAAAAUGACAAAUAAAGCUUCUGAAUGUAACAGCAGAAAACGCAUUUUAAAAGUAGACUCGCAACACAAAAGUUUUUAUGUUAGUAAAAUAUUGAAUAGUGAUAUAAUUAUUAUUCUGAGAAACCAAUGAAAUAUUAUUUUAUCAUUAGCUUGAAAUACCAAAAAUUUUCAU